rnacentral:rRNA from 1 species
AUUGAACGCUGGCGGCAGGCCUAACACAUGCAAGUCGAGCGGACGAGUGGAGCUUGCUCCAUGGUUCAGCGGCGGACGGGUGAGUAAUGCCUAGGAAUCUGCCUGGUAGUGGGGACAACAGUUGGAAACGACUGCUAAUACCGCAUACGUCCUACGGGAGAAAGCAGGGGACCUUCGGGCCUUGCGCUAUCCGAUGAGCCUAGGUCGGAUUAGCUAGUUGGUGAGGUAAAGGCUCACCAAGGCGACGAUCCGUAACUGGUCUGAGAGGAUGAUCAGUCACAUUGGAACUGAGACACGGUCCAGACUCCUACGGGAGGCAGCAGUGGGGAAUAUUGGACAAUGGGCGAAAGCCUGAUCCAGCCAUGCCGCGUGUGUGAAGAAGGUCUUCGGAUUGUAAAGCACUUUAAGUUGGGAGGAAGGGCAGUAAGUUAAUACCUUGCUGUUUUGACGUUACCGACAGAAUAAGCACCGGCUAACUUCGUGCCAGCCGCCGCGGUAAUAC